AGGGCAGUGGAACCGAAGCUGUAAGCCUCCCCACGACCCGACACGCCCUUGCAAAGUGCAAGACUGUAUGUUAGAUCAAGUUCCACUGUGUAUCAGAAAGUACAACUGAAUAUUGCACAUAGCCCGACUCCAUGUUGCUAAAAACCACUCCUAAUGAAUAUAAAUAUUAAGUACAAUGCAACCGUGCAUAUGUUUUACAAAAAUACUAACCCAAGAAUAAUGCAGGUUGCCCAAUGAAAAACACUCAAAAAAGCGACAUUAAAAGUGCACACUGCUAGCUAUCUUACAAUAUGAUGCUUUUAUAAAUCCAAUAAUUCCUCUUUUGCUGUGGCUCAAAAUUUAACGAACCUUUAUCUGAUUGCUAUGCUUCUCUUUCAUCGAAAUUGGCCUUCAAAUGUACAAAACCGUGAAAUCUAUCUUGCCCGCACCGCAAAUCCACUGAUUUUUGCAAUAGUCCCUGCAUGAAAGUGUUUUGGGAUCAUAGUGUGUGGGAUAUUUAUGGUUUAAACGACAAAUCUCGUCGCAGAAAUGAGCUAUUCACGGUCAGGCUUGGGCCCGAUUGCUCCUCUCGUCCCAUGAAAUCGAAGUUGGGAGUGGUCGAGAGCGCUCUCUGGUGGCCACAUUGGUGAUUGCAUCGGUCGCGUGAUGACCCACGACUACCAGUCAGCUGUUCAUUCCCGCAGAGAGGCUGGGCUCACCUGGGUCUGAUGGCUUGUCGAGCACAGAUUUGCAAAGAAAAACAACUGAACGUUCUACAAAUCAUUCAAUUGACAAAUAAAUCUCCAGGUCACGAUGAGGGUGGACUUUUGAGUCUCGCCGUACAACGCGCAUACUCGACGCACACCGAGGACAAGAAAGAUGAGUGACACGCUUGGAUGUCAAUCAUAAUAUCUUUAUACUUUUGGGGACUAAAAUCUCUGCAAGACAACAAAACAUCACAACCGUUAGAAGGAGCAAAGAAAAACUUUGAAAAUGUCUACACAUGAGCGUGCGCACGUGUGUGUGUGUGUGUGUGUGUGAGAGAGAGUGCGUUUGUGUAUUUGGCUGCAAAGGUUAAAAAAAGUUAUUCCGUGUUCUCUAAGAAGAGUUGAAUGCAAUCUCAGGUUGCACCAUGUUUGUGAUGUGGUUAUUUACAGUGUGUGUGUCUGUGAGCGGGCGCGUGUCUCAGGCGGCGGCCUCCUCUCCUUCCUCGACGUGGUUGGACUUGCCCAGCGUCUUGAUUUUGGCCAGCAUCUCCACGAGCGUCUCUUUGACACUCUUCUCCAGCAGCCAGCCUUCGCUCUCGCACUCGGGGUUCUCGGGGUCCGCCAUGGUCUCCAGAGCCGUGCACAGAGUCGCGACUGAGGAGUCGUCUGCUUCCCCACGCGUAAAGAUUUUGGGUGGUAGCGGUUGCUGAUCCACUGGACCUCGAACCAGUCCCUGAAGUUGACGUUGCCGCAGCAGCGGAACUCGAUCUGCGUCAAGUCCAGAGUGCGUUUCAUGAAGCAGCGUCCCGGCGUGUCGGUGUCCUUGUAGAAGCGGAUGCUGUUCUUCAGACCUUGGGACAGCGUCAGGUAGAUGGCGAACUGCAUGAGGAAGCAGAGCAGCGCCAGCAGCAGCAGCAAAACGUUGAAAGCGCAGCACAGCAGCAGGAACCUUCUCAGCAAGGGCUUCCACUUGGAGUACUUGAGCGGGUCCAGGGAGUCGUGGCACACUUUGCCCCCGAAGGCGUUGAGGACACAGGCCAGCAGCCCGGCCAGGAUCAGCAGGUUGGGCACCAAGUGGCUCUCGCUCUCGUCCAUCAGCUCGCUUCUCUUGCGCAGCUCCACCUUGAAGAAGACGCCCAGGCCGAAGAGGAGGACUCCCACCAGGACCGACGUCCAGUAGAGGAUCCACAGACCCUGGGCCAGCUUGACCCGCUUCUGCAGGUUGAACUUGACCGGCAUGAAGGGCAUCUUGACGUGGCGGAAAACCAACCUUUGCGCUUGGAAUUUGCGGCUAUGCUAACUCAGCCUCCGCAUCCGUCAGGCCAGGACAUGGUGGCGGGGGGCCGAGGGGGCUCCCAUCGCUCGCGGCCACAGCUCACAAGUUGUCCGGCGCCAAGUCCCGGGGCACCUUCGGCGACUCCGCUCGCUGCACAAAGUGGCCGACGCUAGUUCGUAAACCCCCGAGCCAAUUAGCUGAGCCCAUAAGCGGCCUUACGUUAAUUGGGGGCGGGGCGCACGGCCAUCGCGGGAAAAUCCACCCAGCUAUCUGUCAUUAUCUAUCCGUCUGUCCGUCCAUCCAGUGUUGCUGCAAGAAAUGAUCCAAUUUCACUUCAUUUGUAGGCCUGUCACUAUUGAAUCUUUUUACAAUCGAUUCUCCUAUUAAUUAUUGAUCGACUAUGCGAAUAGUAAUCGCCCCCCGCCACUAUCACAGACAAUAUUUAUUUUUACUACUAACAUGCAUUUUAUUUUCGUUUAUGACGGCUGGACUUCCAUCCAUCCAUUUUCUGAGCCGCUUUUGGGAUGUGGGAGGAAACCGGAGGGCCCGGAGAAAACCCACGCAGGCAAGGGGAGAACAUGCAAACUCCACACAGGCGGGGCCGGGGAUUGAACCCGGGUCCUCAAACCUGUGAGGCUGACGCUCUAACCAGUCGGCCACCGUGCCGCCACGGCUGGACUUCGAUACUUAAAUUGCAUAUGUUGAUACUCAGUUUGGUCACUGAUGGUGUAGUGGUGCACUUGCCUGACUUUGGUGCAGGCAGCGUGGGUUCAGUUCCCUCUCAGUGACGGUGCGAAUGUGAGUGCGAACGGUUGUCCGUGUCUGGAUGUGCCCAGCGACUGACUGGCGACCACUUCAGGCUGUAGUCCGCCUUUCGCCCGAAGUCAGCUGGGAUAGGCUCCGGCGCCCCACGACCCUGAACUGGAUAAGCGGUGUUGAGAAUGGAUGGAUGGAUGGAUGGAUGGAUGGUACUGAGUGUUUGGUAUAAAUUUGGGCAACAGAAUUUGAGACGCCAAUCAAUUUUACGGACUCUACUGAUUUGGGGAAAGAUAAAUCCACACAGCAGGCAAUUUUCUUGGAUAAAACCAAAUGGGCGAUCAAGAUCCAGAAUAGAUUUUUGGUUGGUGUCUCCUGAAGUUGUAGAUUCUUGUUACAGAAUCUGUGUCAAUAUUUGCAGCCCCCUUGACAGAUCACUGUGUCAUUAAUAGCACUCUGAAAGCUGGACACAACUCAAAUUCCAAGAAAGGUUAUUGGAAGUUUAUUGCUGAAUUUAUUGAACGAAGAAGACUUUGUCCAGAAAGUACCACCCCAAUUCCAAUGAAGUUGGGACGUUGUGUGAAACAUAAAUACAAACAGAAUACAAUGAUUUGCAAAUCAUG